rnacentral:rRNA from 1 species
ACGAACGCUGGCGGCGUGCCUAACACAUGCAAGUCGAGCGGAGACAGUGAGUAGCUUGCUACGAACUGUUUUAGCGGCGGACGGGUGAGUAACGCGUGAGCAACCUUUCCCAGACAGGGGAAUAACACACCGAAAGGUGUACUAAUACCGCAUAAGACCACGGGAUCACAUGGUUCUGAGGUAAAAGAUUUAUCGGUUUGGGGUGGGCUCGCGUCCGAUUAGGUAGUUGGUGAGGUAACGGCCCACCAAGCCGACGAUCGGUAGCCGACCUGAGAGGGUGAUCGGCCACAUUGGGACUGAGACACGGCCCAAACUCCUACGGGAGGCAGCAGUGGGGAAUAUUGGGCAAUGGAGGAAACUCUGACCCAGCAACGCCGCGUGGAGGAAGAAGGUUUUCGGAUCGUAAACUCCUGUCCUUGGAGACGAGUGGAAGACGGUAUCCAAGGAGGAAGCCCCGGCUAACUACGUGCCAGCAGCCGCGGUAAUACGUAGGGGGCAAGCGUUGUCCGGAAUAAUUGGGCGUAAAGGGCGCGUAGGCGGCUCGGUAAGUCUGGAGUGAAAGUCCUGCUUUUAAGGUGGGAAUUGCUUUGGAUACUGUCGGGCUUGAGUGCAGGAGAGGUUAGUGGAAUUCCCAGUGUAGCGGUGAAAUGCGUAGAGAUUGGGAGGAACACCAGUGGCGAAGGCGACUAACUGGACUGUAACUGACGCUGAGGCGCGAAAGUGUGGGGAGCAAACAGGAUUAGAUACCCUGGUAGUCCGCACGGUAAACGAUGGAUGCCCGCUGUUGGUCUGAAUAGGUCAGCGGCCAAGCGAAAGCAUUAAGCAUCCCACCUGGGGAGUACGCCGGCAACGGUGAAACUCAAAGGAAUUGACGGGGGCCCGCACAAGCAGCGGAGCAUGUGGUUUAAUUCGACGCAACGCGAAGAACCUUACCAGGUCUUGACAUCCACUUAAACUUACAGAGAUGUAAGGUGUGCUUGCACAAAGUGAGACAGGUGGUGCAUGGUUGUCGUCAGCUCGUGUCGUGAGAUGUUGGGUUAAGUCCCGCAACGAGCGCAACCCUUAUCUUCAGUUACUAACGCGUAGAGGUGAGGACUCUGAAGAGACUGCCGGGGACAACUCGGAGGAAGGUGGGGACGACGUCAAAUCAUCAUGCCCCUUAUGACCUGGGCUACACACGUGCUACAAUGGCCACGACAGAGAGAAGCGAAAUCGCAAGGUAGAGCGGAACUCAAAAAAGUGGUCCCAGUUCGGAUUGUGGGCUGCAACCCGCCCACAUGAAGUCGGAGUUGCUAGUAAUCGCGGAUCAGCAUGCCGCGGUGAAUACGUUCCCGGGCCUUGUACACACCGCCCGUCACACCAUGGGAGUUGGGAGUGCCCAAAGCCGGUGAGGCAACCGCAAGGAGCCAGCCGUCUAAGGCAAGACCAAUGACUGGGGUG